CCUACGGGUGGCAGCAGUGAGGAAUAUUGGUCAAUGGGCGGGAGCCUGAACCAGCCAAGCCGCGUGAGGGAGGAAGGUACAGCGUAUCGUAAACCUCUUUUGUCAGGGAACAAAGGCGGGGACGAGUCCCCGGAUGAGGGUCCCUGAAGAAGAAGCAUCGGCUAACUCCGUGCCAGCAGCCGCGGUAAUACGGAGGAUCCGAGCGUUAUCCGGAUGUAUUGGGUUAAAGGGGUGCGCAGGCGGUCUGUUAGGUAAGCGGUAAAAGCCCGGGGCUCAACCCCGGCCUGCCGUUGAAACUGGCUGGCUGGAGUGGGAGAGAGGUACGCGGAAUGCGCGGUGUAGCGGUGAAAUGCUUAGAUAUCGCGCAGAACUCCGAUUGCGAAGGCAGCGUACCGGCUCCACACUGACGCUGAGGCACGAAAGCGUGGGUAUCGAACAGGAUUAGAUACCCGAGUAGUC
rnacentral:rRNA from 1 species